rnacentral:rRNA from 1 species
UACGUAGGGGGCAAGCGUUGUCCGGAUUUAUUGGGCGUAAAGAGCGUGUAGGCGGUUUGGUAGGUCCGUUGUGAAAACUCGAGGCUCAACCUCGAGACGCCGAUGGAAACCAUCAGACUAGAGUCCGGAAGAGGAGAGUGGAAUUCCUGGUGUAGCGGUGAAAUGCGCAGAUAUCAGGAGGAACACCGGUGGCGAAGGCGGGUCUCUGGGCCGAUACUGACGCUGAGGAGCGAAAGCGUGGGGAGCGAACAGG